AAAAUUUAAGCGCAAACAACGGUUCGCCGUCGAUUCCGCUGGCCCGUCGGCAAAUACAGCGCAAGUUGGUAUCCGGAAGCACGCUGCAAAAGUGAGUGACAUGACGAGCUGGCCACACCAUAACGACAGAAUUUUAGUGCGUACCCGCGGAUGCCAGUAGCAGCGUCAACCGAAAAAAGCUUCAAGUUGGGGGAGAAAUAGCAGCAGCUGCAAGGUUCAAAAAAGAAGGUCUCAAAUCGACAUUUGUUUCGUGAGAACGCAGAAAAUCAACAUCGCUGCCCAACAUCAUGAAAAAAAUUGCAGCAGCAUCAUCCAGCAUCCUGUAAACGCUCGCAAAACCAGGGGAGCUUUUGUCACAGAAAGGGGAGGAAUCCAACACGGAAAGCAUCUCCGGCAAGGCAGGAAAGACAAUCUGGUCCAACGAUGUUCAGUCCGUUGCAAAUGGCGUUUCAGGGACACAAACCGGCUGAAGCAAGAACUAACAUAUACACGAUGGCCGCCAAAAUAUCCGUGCGGGAUGUGGAUCGACAAGAGUCACAUCCGGGUCGAAGAUCGUGAACCGGUGAUGGAAGUGAUUGUAUGGCCGAUCAAUUUUAUUGUGUCACACACGAAAUAUAAGUUACAAAUAUAUUUAUUA